rnacentral:tRNA from 1 species
GAGAGUAUAGCUCAGUGGUAGAGUGCUUGCCUAGCAUGCAUGAAGCCAUAGAUUUAAUUAAUUUCA